rnacentral:rRNA from 1 species
GACGAACGCUGGCGGCGUGCUUAACACAUGCAAGUCGAACGGAAAGGCCCUGCUUUUGUGGGGUGCUCGAGUGGCGAACGGGUGAGUAACACGUGAGUAACCUGCCCUUGACUUUGGGAUAACUUCAGGAAACUGGGGCUAAUACCGGAUAGGAGCUCCUGCUGCAUGGUGGGGGUUGGAAAGUUUCGGCGGUUGGGGAUGGACUCGCGGCUUAUCAGCUUGUUGGUGGGGUAGUGGCUUACCAAGGCUUUGACGGGUAGCCGGCCUGAGAGGGUGACCGGCCACAUUGGGACUGAGAUACGGCCCAGACUCCUACGGGAGGCAGCAGUGGGGAAUAUUGCACAAUGGGCGGAAGCCUGAUGCAGCAACGCCGCGUGCGGGAUGACGGCCUUCGGGUUGUAAACCGCUUUCGCCUGUGACGAAGCGUGAGUGACGGUAAUGGGUAAAGAAGCACCGGCUAACUACGUGCCAGCAGCCGCGGUGAUACGUAGGGUGCGAGCGUUGUCCGGAUUUAUUGGGCGUAAAGGGCUCGUAGGUGGUUGAUCGCGUCGGAAGUGUAAUCUUGGGGCUUAACCCUGAGCGUGCUUUCGAUACGGGUUGACUUGAGGAAGGUAGGGGAGAAUGGAAUUCCUGGUGGAGCGGUGGAAUGCGCAGAUAUCAGGAGGAACACCAGUGGCGAAGGCGGUUCUCUGGGCCUUUCCUGACGCUGAGGAGCGAAAGCGUGGGGAGCGAACAGGCUUAGAUACCCUGGUAGCCCACGCUGUAAACGGUGGGUACUAGGUGUGGGGUCCAUUCCACGGGUUCCGUGCCGUAGCUAACGCUUUAAGUACCCCGCCUGGGGAGUACGGCCGCAAGGCUAAAACUCAAAGGAAUUGACGGGGCCCCGCACAAGCGGCGGAGCAUGCAGAUUAAUUCGAUGCAACGCGUAGAACCUUACCUGGGUUUGACAUGGAUCGGGAGUGCUCAGAGAUGGGUGUGCCUCUUUUGGGGUCGGUUCACAGGUGGUGCAUGGCUGUCGUCAGCUCGUGUCGUGAGAUGUUGGGUUAAGUCCCGCAACGAGUGCAACCCUUGUUCACUGUUGCCAGCACGUUAUGGUGGGGACUCAGUGGAGACCGCCGGGGUCAACUCGGAGGAAGGUGGGGAUGACGUCAAGUCAUCAUGCCCCUUAUGUCCAGGGCUUCACGCAUGCUACAAUGGCUGGUACAGAGAGUGGCGAGCCUGUGAGGGUGAGCGAAUCUCGGAAAGCCGGUCUCAGUUCGGAUUGGGGUCUGCAACUCGACCUCAUGAAGUCGGAGUCGCUAGUAAUCGCAGAUCAGCAACGCUGCGGCGAAUACGUUCCCGGG